rnacentral:rRNA from 1 species
UACGUAGGGUGCAAGCGUUAAUCGGAAUUACUGGGCGUAAAGCGUGCGCAGGCGGUUAUAUAAGACAGCUGUGAAAUCCCCGGGCUCAACCUGGGAACUGCAUCUGUGACUGUAUAGCUAGAGUACGGUAGAGGGGGAUGGAAUUCCGCGUGUAGCAGUGAAAUGCGUAGAUAUGCGGAGGAACACCGAUGGCGAAGGCAAUCCCCUGGACCUGUACUGACGCUCAUGCACGAAAGCGUGG